GAGUCCCGCCCCUCGGGGGCUCCGCGCGGGGCAGCGCAGCCGGCGCAGGCCCCGCCCCGGGGAGAGAGCCGUCCAACCCCGGCCAGCGGCCCGUGCCCGCCCGGAGCCUCGCCUACCUCAGAACCCCUGAGUUUUAUCUGGCAAGAUGGCUGCCCAGCUAAAUGUUACAUUUUCCAGUGUCCCUUGCAGCAGGUAUUAUGCUGGAGCUGGAGCUGCCAUUUUGGACCAUGAGAAGGAUACCAUGUGUUGAGGGUUGCAGAGCAUCCUGCCUGACUCCCCAAGCUCCAUGGAGACACUAUGUGAGCCCUGGCUGCUUAUAUGAGAAAGGAAUAAAGUUUUCUGUUUAAAGGCA